CAUGCGGUUGCGGGGAAUUGAACUCAACGACCUCUGGAAGAGCAGUCAGUGCUCUUAACCAUUGAGCCAUCUCUCCAGCCCUUCUGAACGUUGUUACCUUUAUGCCGGUGUCUGUGCUGAAAAUUGCGAGCUGUUGCAGCGAUUUCUCAUGCUGGAGAGAAGUGUUACAUGCUUGAUUGACCCUCUGUAGUUUUGAGUGUGGGGCACAUUCAAACUAUAAACUAUUAAACUAUUUUCUGUACCCUUAAACAUUGCUUCCCUCAGGGAUCCAUUUAAUGCCCGCCAUCUCUGUAGAACUUUGACUCCUGAACCCACAUACCAUCAUUUCCUAGCUCUUUUUACUUCAACACACAUGGGCUUGCCUUCUGAGUUAUCAUGUAUAUGGUUUAAUGCAGUCGCCAACUACUUAAAUCUGAAACCCUGGUAUCACUGAGAUAAAACAAAAAACUAGGCCUUAAUUCAGCGGAAAACAGCAUUUGCUGCUUUUGCAGAGGACCCAGGUUUGAUUCCCAACACCCACAAGGCAGUUCACAACCAUCUAUAACUCCAGGCAACUGGGCACCAGGCACACAUGUUGUAGGUCAGAGGACAGUUUGUGGGACCCCGUGGGCUCCCAGGAACCAAACUCAGGUCAUUAGUUUUGGUGCCAAGUGCCUUCCUUUAUCAGCUGCUCCUAGGAUUUCCCCUUCCUCAAGACUCAGGCUAACCUCAUAGAAUAAAAAGAGUACCUCUUGGUUAUUCUCUCACAACCAUCCUUGAAUUCAAGUACUCACCGUCUCCUCAACUUUUUGUCAGUCCUGUCUCCAGCUUUCUCUCUGUCCCUCAUAAAAACACUGCCAGUUCCUUGCUUAUAAAGCUUAGACCUCAGAGGCUACCUCUGUAGUGAAUAGCAUCCAAAUAGCUUCUGGUGGCUGUAUAAGCAACAGGUACUUCUGUGUUACCAUCUUCCCCUGCUUGUCCUCUGCUUGGCCUGGGACGCCCAUCCCUGACCUUCCCAUCUAGCCAGAAGGCCAGAAGAUGUGUCUUGUGUGUUACCUUCUGUGGAGCUUUCCUUACCUCCCCCAAGUAAGGCAUUGACCUUUGGUUUCAGUGCAAUUCUGUACUUAUCUCUGUAAUGAUGUGCUAUAAUCUCUCUCUCAUCUGAACCGGGGUGCUGUUGAGGCUGGCAGCAUCUUACUGAACCCAGUAGCCACAGCAGCUUUGACUGCCACAAAUUAUUUUGGAAACGUUGAAUUAAAUGGACCUAGAAGCUGUCCCUAAAUUAGUUUCAGAGCAGUAUACUAGGAACACCACAAUAGUGGUUUAUUAACAUUUUAAAAGGUAUCGAUAGUAGGUUCUCUACUCUAGUCCACUGUAAAGAAAAAAACUCAAGAUAUGGUUAACAGAUGUACCCUCAAUAAUUUAUGUAGUUACCUUAAACUCUAAAUAUAUCAACUGGCUUGACAAGUAUUUAUUGAAAAUCUGUUAUGUACUUCUAAGGGACUAUAUUAGUGAAGAUGGGUGGUAUAUUAGUCUGCCUUACUAGUUAUUUUAGUAAGCUAGUGUUCUGUAGUGAGAAGAAGGGGAGUCACACAGAAAUGCGAAAAGUGCUGGAGGAGGUUGAAGUUUUUAAAGAUGAGCUAGGACUGGCCUACUAGAGGAAGUAACUACUGAAAGACUGAGAAUUAGCAAAUUAACUGUGAACAUCUGCAGCUGGUACCAUGAGGCAUGGUGAAGCCCACCUCCCCAGCCAGUUCAAGGAAUAGCAGAAGUGUGUUAGAGUUGCUGAGUGCAGUGGCUUGGGGGACAAGUAAGAGAUGAGGUUAGAGAGGAAGGUAGAGAACAAGAGCCUAAGGGGUUCUGUAGGCUGACUUAGGCUACUUGAUUACCAUGCUGAGGUUAUUGUACUGAGCGUCAUCCUGUCUCCACAGUCAGCUUUUAACCAGAAGCGGGAUACAGUUUUAAAUACACUCUUCAAGUUCAGGCGUGGUACUACACUCUUGGAAUCUCAGCCUUCACAAAGGCAAGGCAGGAAUUGUGCUGAGUCUGAGGACAACCUGGUCGUAAAUUCUAGCCAACCAAGGUAUACAAAGUCAAAACCUACCUAAAAAAUAAAAUUCUGCUGUGUAGAGAUGGGAGUAGGGAUGUGACAUAUAAAGUGGGUGAUUUAGGAAGUGACCAUUCAUCUCUCACUUGUUCAUUUUUAUACAUUAUGCACCUAUAUGGGAUUAGCAUGCUAUGUAUAGAACUUUUAACAAGGCGUAUAGUGUAUCUUCAUAGAGCUUAUACUUUAAAGGGGAAGGUAGAAUAAAAGUGUAAAUUAGGGGCUGCAGAGAUGGCUCAGUUAAGAGCACUGACUGCUCUUCUAGAGGUCCUGAGUUCAAUUCCCAGCAACGACAUGGUGGCUCACAACCAUCUGUAAUGGGAUCUGAUGACCUCUUCUGGUAUGUCAGUGACAGUGUACUCAUAUAAAUAAAAUAAAUAUAUUUUUUUAAAGUAUAAAUAUACUAAGGUACCUGAAUAAGGGUGAUUAAGAAUAAGUAUCCCAUGCAAGAAACGAACAUAUGUUAAUCAGAGAAUGGAAUGGAUGGCAGCGAGGAGGAGCAUACCCGACACUGGGAGAAUAUGUUAAAGCAUCAACCUCUGUUUGAAAGUACAGCCGGUAGAAGAGGUCCAGGCCCUGGUGGUGGAGCCCGGUUAGGAAAAGGGCAUGUAGAAAAGACUGAAGAGUCAAGUAUUAGUACAGAUGAAGUUCAGUGGCCACUGAGCCACUUUAGGCAUCAGUAUUUGAAAAAGGAAAUUGUACUUAUUUUAAGAGCUGCAGAGUGACAACAAUUCAAAAAGACAAACCAAUUAAGAGGCUGUUGCUGGUGAGCAGAGAGGUGGUAGCUUGGGCGAAGGUGGUGGCAAGAAGCCAGGAGUGGUGAGAACAAGAUGUCGUGUAGGCAGUACAGCUUAGUGAGAGGCGAGUGAGAGAAUUGGGUGGGGUUUGAGCAUGGCUCCAAGUUGAGCAACUGGCUUGAGCAUUAAAUGUACAAAUGUAUGUAACACAAAAGUGAAAGAACAACAACUCACAACAAAAUAGGAACUCGGAGGCACGUUCAGCUGGGGGCAGUUUGUAGGACUGGAGAUGUCAGAAGAGAAAGUUAAAAGUGGUGUUAGAGUAAGCAGUAAAGGCCCAUUUAAAUAACACUUGUGGUCCAAGCAAUACCCUCCCUGGCCUGGGUGAAGCCCUAACCAUCCUGUUGGACCAGAUGAGUCAAUCACCUGGCCAAGGGCCUGCCCACAGAAAGGCAGGUUCACCUUAAGACAUGACAAAGAGAGACAGGUGGAAUGAGGUACUGCAGACCUUUCCAGAUCCCCUGCCCCUGGUGCGGUAGAAUUCUUGGCUGUAGCUAUUCAACUUCGUGGCGGUGGCUCAUGCCUUUAAGCACUGCACUCCAGAGGCAGAGGCAGAUGAAUCUCUCAACUCCAGGCAAGUCUAGACUACAAGUUCCAGGACAGCUAAGGCCACACAGAGACACUUUGUCUCAAAAAACAAGCAAGAAAAAAAAAUCUUGAAUAAAAAUAUACAAAAUGAAAAUA